UAGUCUUAACGAUGGAUGUCUUGGCUCUUACUGCGAUGAAGGCCGCAGCAAAAUGCGAUACGCAAUGAAAAUUGCAAUGUUUCUAAAUCAUUAGAAUGCUGAAUGUAAACUACACUUUAUUCCUCUUGUAACAAAGGGGAAUUAAGUACUUCUAACAUAAAUACA
ensembl:rRNA 5_8S_rRNA 5.8S ribosomal RNA